rnacentral:rRNA from 1 species
AGGACGAACGCUGGCGGCGUGCUUAACACAUGCAAGUCGAGCGGAAAGGCCCUUCGGGGUACUCGAGCGGCGAACGGGUGAGUAACACGUGAGCAACCUGCCCCUGGCUCUGGGAUAGCCUCCGGAAACGGGGAUUAAUACCGGACAUUCACUUCCUUCCGCAUGGUUGGUGGUGGAAAGUUUUUCGGCCGGGGAGGGGCUCGCGGUCUAUCAGCUUGUUGGCGGGGUAACGGCCCACCAAGGCGACGACGGAUAGCC